rnacentral:rRNA from 1 species
UACGGGGGGGGCAAGCGUUGUUCGGAAUUACUGGGCGUAAAGCGUGCGCAGGCGGUUCGGAAAGAGAGGUGUGAAAUCCCAGGGCUUAACCUUGGAACUGCACUUCUAACUACCGGGCUAGAGUACGUCAGAGGGGGGUAGAAUUCCACGUGUAGCAGUGAAAUGCGUAGAGAUGUGGAGGAAUACCGAUGGCGAAGGCAGCCCCCUGGGAUGAUACUGACGCUCAUGCACGAAAGCGUGGGGAGCAAACAGG